GUGGGGAAUAUUGGGCAAUGGAGGCAACUCUGACCCAGCAAUGCCGCGUGAGUGAAGAAGGUUUUCGGAUUGUAAAACUCUUUAAGCAGGGACGAAGAAAGUGACGGUACCUGCAGAAUAAGCAUCGGCUAACUACGUGCCAGCAGCCGCGGUAAUACGUAGGAUGCAAGCGUUAUCCGGAAUGACUGGGCGUAAAGGGUGCGUAGGCGGUAAAUCAAGUUGGCAGCGUAAUUCCGGGGCUUAACCGCGGAACUACUGCCAAAACUGGUGAACUAGAGUGUGUCAGGGGUAAGUGGAAUUCCUAGUGUAGCGGUGGAAUGCGUAGAUAUUAGGAGGAACACCGGAGGCGAAAGCGACUUACUGGGGCAUAACUGACGCUGAGGCACGAAAGCGUGGGGAGCAAACAGGAUUAGAAACCCUAGUAGUCC
rnacentral:rRNA from 1 species